UUCAUUUGUAUCUUUCUCCGUUCGUAGGUCCGUUAGACGACGCCAUUUGUUUCCUCGCAUCGUGGUGUCUUCAUUCGCUCGUCAUUAUUCACCUAGCAAUGGUCGUCGGCGGGGAUCGUAGUAGAGCCAAGCGUCGGGGACCACCUGCUCGGGAGAACGAUCGAGCUAUUUUUCCCCCUUUUGCCGGUCAUUGAUAAUGACUCUGAUCCAACAUCAAAGAAGUUGAAAUAUGGGGAGUCGCUAGAGGAUAUGAAGGAUAUACUCCCUGAGUUGUAGACUUAUUAAUCAUGGGAGGUCGGCUAUUUGUGCUGGUUUGGAUAUUAAGCAGUUGCAAAUGUCCUGUCGGAUUCAAAGAAUAAGACCAAUUGUGGAGUUUAUCUUAUGCGUCACAUGGAGACAUAUAUAGGCCAGCGAGUCCCCAGGUAGGAUUGUAGACUUCUUAAGGGGGACACUAGAAUGCUACACAAACUUAGGUUGCAGAUUUGCUGUACAUGAAGGAACUAACAAUGUCGGACUUCAAUGCGCACAAAUCACGGAACCUAUGUCGGGCGUACCAGUCUAUCUCUGCUCCUCUUUCUACUAUGUAAACAUGCAUUUUCCACUACGGUUUUUUGGAUGAUCUUACAUGCAAUUGUCUAGACUAGUUAUUUCCCAUUUUUUGGUCUGACUGUUUUUUGUGCUCAGGUUGUGAAAUACUUCUAUCAAUCUAUAAUUAUAUUCACGCUAUCUUUAUGGUCUAAUUGUUUGGUUUCAGCGCAAUGUUGUAUAUACCUUGGUCAUCUAAUACUUUGAAUUUAUUUCA